rnacentral:rRNA from 1 species
UAGCGUAGGGGGCAAGCGUUGUCCGGAAUCAUUGGGCGUAAAGCGCGCGUAGGCGGCCCGGUAAGUCCGCUGUAAAAGUACCAGGGCUCAACCCCUGGAAAGCCGGUGGAUACUGUCAUGACUGAGAGUCCGGUAGGGGAGCGGUGGAAUUCCUGGUGUAGCGGUGAAAUGCGCAGAUAUCAGGAGGAACACCAGCGGCGAAGGCGGCGCUCUGGGCCGGUAACUGACGCUGGAGGAGCGAAAGCGUGGGUAGCAAACAGG